rnacentral:rRNA from 1 species
CCUACGGGUGGCAGCAGUGAGGAAUAUUGGUCAAUGGACGAGAGUCUGAACCAGCCAAGUAGCGUGCAGGAUGACUGCCCUAUGGGUUGUAAACUUCUUUUAUAUGGGAAUAAAAUGUUCCACGUGUGGGAUUUUGUAUGUACCAUAUGCAUACGGAUCGGCUAACUCCGUGCCAGCAGCCGCGGUAAUACGGAGGAUCCGAGCGUUAUCCGGAUUUAGUGGGUUUAAAGGGAGCGUAGGUGGAUUGUUAAGUCCGUUGUGAAAGUUUGCGGCCCAACCGUAAAAUUGAAGUUGAAACUGGCAGUCUUGAGUACAGUAGAGGUGGGCGGAAUUCGUGGUGUAGCGGUGAAAUGCUUAGAUAUCACGAAGAACUCCGAUUGCGAAGGCAGUUCACUGGACUGCAACUGACACUGAGGCUCGAAAGUGUGGGUAUCAAACAGGAUUAGAUACCCCAGUAGUC